CACCGCGGUUAGACGAGGUAGCCCAAGUUGACGAACAUCGGCGUAAAGUGUGGUCAAGGGUAGAAAUAACUAAAGCCGAAGCUCCCCCCAACCGUUAUACGCGCUCGGAGGAGAGAAGUUCAACCACGAAAGUGGCUUUACCCCCACCUGAAUCCACGACAGCUAAGGAA
rnacentral:rRNA from 1 species